CAGUUAUACAAGACGCAGACCCUAUAAACGCGUAACUGACACUUUAGAUAAAUGCACACCCACAAAAUGCAUUUCACAUUUGAGACAUGAGAUCCGAUUGCAUUCUGGAUUAUCUAAAGUAUCAUUCAGCAGCAUUUGUGAUUCAUAUAAGUGCUAUACCCGUCAUAUUAACUAGUCCGCUAAAUGGAAAUUUAACCUCUGCGGUUAUUUAUCUUCCUACAAUUUUAUGUGUGUUACUAGCUACAAAAAAGACACAAAAGACCAGUGAUUGAAACAGAAACUUUCCCCGUUGGGGUGACAAAUUAAAACCAUAAAACUGGCGCUUGCUUCCAUCCUGGAGAGCGGGUUAAAAUUGCGGUGUUGCUGUAUAUGCAGGCCGGCGUCAUUCCGGCGUGACGAGCUUGGGAGCCACAUUAACAGGUGAUAGCAGAUAUCUCUUCAUUACUUGGGGAGGAGAUGGCAGACACUGUAUUCAGUUUGGCAGCAGCUGGGGCUGGAGGGAUUGAGUUUGAUGCCCUACAGUAAUGAUGCGGCAAGAGGCUUCCUGAGGUUCACUGCAGGAGGAGGGAUUAAGGUCGCGUGAUGCCCCCCCCCCCUCCCAGUGAAGGCUGUGAGAAACUUCUGCCUGGUCCUGGUGACUCACUGGCAACAAUGACAGGUCUGUCACCCAGACACUCCGGAAUCCCCCUGAGCAGAGCCGCUGCAUGGGGUCCUUGUUGCGUCCUUUUCACUGCCUGAAUCAUUUCAUGACCGUUUAACCGAAAAAACCGGGAAGCUUCAAAAAAACUAAAAUGGGGGGAAAUGUCCCUCUUUGUAAGGCAGCCCUUGUGUUUGAUUAGUCAAUUUUGCCAGGAGUCGUCUUAUUAACCAAUAAAUAUUAAAUGGUGCUCUUGGUCAGUGUUUUAAAGACGGCCAUCAAGGUCUAACUGUAUGCUGUAUUUUAAGAUCAUGAAAGUAUCACUUAAACAAAAAUGUUCUUGGGGCAGAAGGAAACAUUGGUUCAGAGAGAUAACCAAUCAGAUUGUAGAGGAGGCAGGUCCAAGCAAAUAGAGGAGGUGGGACCAAUCAGAUUUUUGUGUAAAACUCCCACAGGUGUAUUGUAACUGAAAUAAUUACUUUCAUGUUUGUAUGUUACAUUAAAACGACUAAAAUUUCCACUUUUUAGAAAAAUUUUCAUUUUAAAGCCAUUUAUCUCUGCAAUUAGAAAGAACUUUAACUUGGUCUUUUCCCAAUUGUCUGCAUUUUUAUUUCAAAAUAUUUUCCAUUAUUGUUCUUAUCUCAGUUCACUUGACAUUUCAGGCAUUUUCUUUCUGAGCUGGGGUCACUUCAGGUUCCAUUCCUUUCUAAAAGAAUCAUAUCAGGCUGCAUACUUGGCAGCUGCACCAGUAAGGUUUUAGUUAUAAAUCUCUCUGGGACCCCAUUCAAAGAGUCACCACCCCCGCAAAAGUUUCAAAAACCAAAUAAAUAGCUCGCGAAUAGAGUCAGAAGAUCGUAGCUAGCUAGAUGGAUAGCAGAACAUCCUGCUUCAGCAUCUCCUACGUAAUGAGCGCGCUAAUUUAUUAUUCAGUGUAGUAACUGUUUGUGGCCAACAGGGGGCCUAAACCUUAGGGGCCCCACGCAAAUGCUGGUUUGAGUCACAGUAACCGCCGCUCCUUGCAGCAAUGCUUUUUGUUGUUUUAUGCGACUUGUUGCCAGUUUGCAUUAAAGUGUAACUCGCCAAAAGCAAUAUUCAUGCUAUGCAAAUGAAAUGUUAACGCGUUAAUUUAUUCUUUACAUGUAAUUUUUUUACAGCAUAAUAUUUGCUUGUCUGUUUGCACUUAAUUCUCAGAG